rnacentral:lncRNA from 1 species
AUGUUGGCGACCACGACUGAGGGCCACGGCCCCGACGUUAUGAAGUGGCCAGAAUGCAAAUGGACUCAGAGGACCACAGCGACCAGCAGAAAGCAAAUGAGAGGAACUGACCUCCUGGAGAUUUUUGUCCUAGAAUCAGGGCUGCAUCUGAAAAAGAUACAAUCAGGCAGAAUUAUGACACUGUGUCCACAGAUGUAUCCCCAGCAUCAAGAAUAGUGCCAGGCACUGGGCUGCUCAGUAAGUAUUAGCUGAAUGAAUGAACUGUAACAGAAUGGAGCCGCUGUCAU